rnacentral:rRNA from 1 species
GACAGAGGGUGCAAACGUUGUUCGGAAUUACUGGGCGUAAAGCGUGUGUAGGCGGUCCGCUAAGUCGGGUGUGAAAGCCCUGGGCUCAACCCAGGAAGUGCACUCGAGACUGGCAGGCUAGAGUACUGGAGAGGUUGGUGGAAUUCUCGGUGUAGAGGUGAAAUUCGUAGAUAUCGAGAGGAACACCGGUGGCGAAGGCGGCAUCCUGGACCGAUACUGACGCUGAGGAGCGAAAGCCAGGGGAGCAAACGGG